CCUACGGGAGGCAGCAGUGAGGAAUAUUGGUCAAUGGACGAGAGUCUGAACCAGCCAAGUAGCGUGAAGGAUGACUGCCCUAUGGGUUGUAAACUUCUUUUAUAUGGGAAUAAAAUGUUCCAAGUGUGGGAUUUUGUAUGUACCAUAUGAAUAAGGAUCGGCUAACUCCGUGCCAGCAGCCGCGGUAAUACGGAGGAUCCGAGCGUUAUCCGUAUUUAUUGGGUUUAAAGGGAGCGUAGGUGGAUUGUUAAGUCAGUUGUGAAAGUUUGCGGCUCAACCGUAAAAUUGCAGUUGAAACUGGCAGUCUUGAGUACAGUAGAGGUGGGCGGAAUUCGUGGUGUAGCGGUGAAAUGCUUAGAUAUCACGAAGAACUCCGAUUGCGAAGGCAGUUCACUGGACUGCAACUGACACUGAGGCUCGAAAGUGUGGGUAUCAAACAGGAUUAGAUACCCUUGUAGUC
rnacentral:rRNA from 1 species